UCGUGCAUUUUUUUUACAAGAAACCAAUUUGGAAAAAGUUUUUUUUCUUUCUUCUUUGUUUUUAAUUAUUAUAUUCCCCACUGAUAUUUUUAAAAAUUUUAAUUAAAAAAAAAAAGUAACAAAAUAGUCAAAAUAGCCGACAUAAUGUGCAACGGUGCAAGUAGCUCUACGUCCGAUGACGAGAGUGAAUAUGGCACCAAUUUAAAAAUUCUUCCAAGGAACCCACAAGUCGCUGAAUUACAAACUAUUAUUCGUGACAAGAACACAUCUCGCAGUGACUUUAAAUUCUAUGCCGAUCGAUUAAUUCGUCUCGUCAUCGAAGAGAGCCUCAACCAAUUGCCAUAUUCUGAUUGUUCAGUAGAAACACCAACUGGCGCUGUCUACGAAGGACUUAAAUAUCGAUCUGGCAAUUGUGGAGUAUCAAUUAUUCGCUCCGGCGAAGCAAUGGAACAGGGUCUACGUGAUUGUUGUCGAUCAAUUCGAAUCGGAAAGAUUCUAGUCGAAUCCGAUGCCGACACACACGUCGCCCGAGUUGUUUAUGCUAGAUUUCCCGAUGACAUUGCCAGAAGACAAGUGUUGCUGAUGUAUCCAAUCAUGUCAACAGGAAAUACUGUUUUGCAGGCUGUGAAUGUUCUUAAAGAACAUGGAGUACCAGAGGAUUGUAUUAUCCUCUCGAAUCUCUUUUGCACACCAGUGGCUGCUAAAACAGUUGUCACUGCAUUUCCCGAGAUGAAGAUACUCACUUCGGAGUUGCAUGCAGUUGCUCCUAAUCAUUUUGGCCAAAAAUACUUCGGUACUGAUUGAAUUUUUAGCUUCCUAGAAACUUUGAGUUUCUUCUUUGUCUCUAAAAACAAGACUUUAUCUCUUACUCACGCUUCUCUGUCGUCUUUAUUGUCCAUAAAUGAAUCAAAUCGAACACUCUUGUGAUUGCUUUUGAUUUGUGCUUGUGGCGUUGUAUUUUUUUUUUUUAUUGUUUUGUACUUAAAUGAAAAAUGUUAGCUUGUCGUAGUAAUAGAAAUUAAUUAAUGAAUUUAUUAUACAAACUUCAAAUAAAAAUGAAUUCAAUUUU